AUUGAUUUUAUGCUUGCAUAAAUGAUUUUUUGGAUUCGGAGCGAGUGGCGAACUGGUGAGUAACACGUGGGUAACCUGCCCCGAAGCGGGGGAUAACAUUUGGAAACAAGUGCUAAUACCGCAUAAUUAGUUGGAACCGCAUGGUUCCAACUUGAAAGAUGGCUCUGCUAUCACUUUGGGAUGGACCCGCGCCGUAUUAGUUAGUUGGUGAGAUAAAAGCCCACCAAGACGACGAUACGUAGCCGACUUGAGAGGGUAAUCGGCCACAUUGGGACUGAGACACGGCCCAGACUCCUACGGGAGGCAGCAGUAGGGAAUCUUCCACAAUGGACGAAAGUCUGAUGGAGCAACGCCGCGUGGGUGAUGAAGGUUUUCGGAUCGUAAAACUCUGUUGUUAAAGAAGAACAAGUGUUAGAGUAACUGUUAACACUUUGACGGUAUUUAACCAGAAAGCCACGGCUAACUACGUGCCAGCAGCCGCGGUAAUACGUAGGUGGCAAGCGUUGUCCGGAUUUAUUGGGCGUAAAGCGAGCGCAGGCGGUUUUGUAAGUCUGCUGUGAAAGCCCUCAGCUCAACUGAGGAAGUGCAGUGGAAACUACAAAACUUGAGUACAGAAGAGGAAAGUGGAACUCCAUGUGUAGCGGUGAAAUGCGUAGAUAUAUGGAAGAACACCAGUGGCGAAGGCGGCUUUCUGGUCUGUUACUGACGCUGAGGCUCGAAAGCAUGGGUAGCGAACAGGAUUAGAUACCCUGGUAGUCCAUGCCGUAAACGAUGAAUACUAGGUGUUGGAGGGUUUCCGCCCUUCAGUGCCGCAGCUAACGCAUUAAGUAUUCCGCCUGGGGAGUACGACCGCAAGGUUGAAACUCAAAGGAAUUGACGGGGGCCCGCACAAGUGGUGGAGCAUGUGGUUUAAUUCGAUGCUACGCGAAGAACCUUACCAGCUCUUGACAUCUUCUGCCAACCCAAGAGAUUGGGCGUUCCCUUCGGGGACAGAAUGACAGGUGGUGCAUGGUUGUCGUCAGCUCGUGUCGUGAGAUGUUGGGUUAAGUCCCGCAACGAGCGCAACCCUUAUUAUUAGUUGCCAGCAUUUAGUUGGGCACUCUAGUGAGACUGCCGGUGAUAAA
rnacentral:rRNA from 1 species